GGGGCUGACCUGGUUUCGACGGGAUCAAGUCGCUUCUAGUUGCAUGUCGGACUGAGCAUUCCGUUACACGGCUCAAAUUGCUUAAACGCAAACAAUACAAAUUAUCGCCCAGCUUACGCAGUAGCUUAAGUUUACCCCCUCGCAAGAGGUCGGGCUGCUUCACCUAUGGACUCUGGAUAGAUAGGAUCUGAAGUAUCACCCUUAUGCAGAUAUACUUUGCGUUUGUCUCGGACGCAAAACGAACCCAAGAGGCUCGUCUGGCGUAGCUUUGCAAGUUGUGUGAAGCAAGACUAAAAAACAAACAACUUCUCUAAACAUGUAGAGAUUAGGAGUAGCGUGGUUUCGGACUGGAGUUCGAUCCUCCACAGCUCCACCA
rnacentral:tmRNA from 1 species